UCAUUGACUUCUACACUAACUUUUCAGCACUAGAAUUGGAUCAAAAUAAUGGAAGCAACAAAGCCAAAUACUAACUCAAUUCUAAUACUCCACAAUGCUAUGAUUAUAACGAUGGAUUCUCAAACUCGUGUUUAUCGAGACGGUGCAAUUGUUAUCCAAAACGACUCAAUUAUAGCCAUCGGCAAAUCAAUCGAAAUUCUCCCCAGAUUUUCUGCUCUCUCACCUGAAGUUCUUGACCUACGUGGACAAAUUCUUCUCCCUGGGUUCAUAAACACACAUGUUCACACGUCUCAGCAAUUAGCGAGAGGAAUAGCUGAUGAUGUGGAUUUGUUAACAUGGUUACAUGAUCGUAUUUGGCCUUACGAGUCCAACAUGACUGAAGAAGAUUCCUACAUUUCCACUUUACUCUGCGGAAUCGAACUUAUUCACUCUGGUGUUACAUGCUUUGCUGAAGCUGGAGGUCAGCAUGUGUCGGGAAUGGCAAGUGCAGUUGAAGCAUUAGGCUUGCGUGCGUGUUUGACCGAGUCAAUUAUGGAUUGUGGUGAAGGUUUGCCAGCUUCAUGGGCCGCUAAGACUACUGAAGAUUGUAUUAAGUCGCAGAAGGAUCUGUUUAUGAAACACCAUAAUACAGCAGAUGGACGUAUCAAAGUAUGGCUUGGGAUACGGCAAAUUAUGAAUUCAACUGAGCAGUUACUUAUUGAGACGAGAGACACAGCAAAAGAACUAGAAACUGGGAUUCACAUGCAUAUUGCAGAGAUACCCUAUGAAAACCAACUGAUUGUUGAAACUCGAGGAGUUGAUCAUGGAACUGUUACAUAUCUUGAGAAGAUCAAGUUCCUGCAGAACAAUUUGCUGGCAGCACAUACUGUUUGGGUCAAUGAGAAAGAGAUUGAUUGUCUCUCAGAGGCUGGAGUCAAAGUGUCACACUGUCCUGCUGCUGCAAUGAGAAUGCUUGGAUUUGCCCCCAUUAGGGAAAUGCUCAAUGCUGGUGUUUGCGUAUCCUUGGGAACAGAUGGUGCACCAUCAAACAAUAGAAUGAGCAUUGUUGAUGAGAUGUACCUGGCCUCUUUGAUCAACAAAGGCCGUGAAGUAUUUUCCACAGGAACCACUGAUCCUACAGCUUUGCCUGCUGAAACAAUCCUCAGAAUGGCCACAAUAAAUGGUGCCAAGUCUGUACUUUGGGACAAGGAAAUAGGUUCACUUGAGGUUGGGAAGAAGGCUGAUAUCGUUGUGGUCAAUCCUUAUUCUUGGUCCAUGAUGCCAAUUAAUGACUGCAUUUCCAGCCUCGUUUAUUGCAUGAGAACUGAGAAUAUCGUUUCUGUUAUGUGCAACGGCUGUUGGAUUAUGAAAGAUAAGAAAAUCACAACCGUAGACGAGUUGAUGAGAUGUACUUGGCCUCUUUGAUCAACAAAGGCCGUGAAGUAUUUUCCACAGGAACCACUGAUCGUACAGCUUUGCCUGCUGAAACAAUCCUCAGAAUGGCCACAAUAAAUGGUGCCAAGUCUGUACUUUGGGACAAGGAAAUAGGUUCACUUGAGGUUGGGAAGAAGGCUGAUAUCGUUGCGGUCAAUCCUUAUUCUUGGUCCAUGAUGCCAAUUCAUGACUGGUAUGAAUCAUUAUAAUGGAGAAUAAGCACACUGUGGAUUAACAUUAUUAUUGUUGAGAAUAUAAUUAAGUAAAUAAAA